CACAAAUCGUGAGUGUAUUGUGUGUAGCGAUGGCUGAUGAGCAUAUUAGCUUCUUACUUGGCUCAAAGAGCAGCUCGGCGUGAGAGAGUUCGGAUCCUUUAACGAUGCGGCUUAAAAGACACCCUCAAUUGGACCGUUCACCGUCAUCUUCUUACCCCGUUGCAGAUGCACUUCGUGAGAGAUUCGAUGUUAACCAGAAUGUGUUCCAUGGGCUCUUGGCGGCAGCAAAGUUUACUCGCAACCCUACACCACCUUCUGGGGUAAUUCUCUUCGUUCGUUACGCUAUUUAGAUAGCAUAUGGACUUCGUAUUUGCAUGAUCUUAAUGUUGGGUUUGACGUCCUUAUGGGCUGUUUUGGCCUUAGGGACUAUUUUAGAUUGAUUAGGAGGCCCAUUUGGCCUUUCUUGUUCACCAAUCCAAGAACCCUUAUCUGAUGCCUAUAUAUAUAUCCUAGACUUUGCAUUGUAAUUUUCUUCUACUGAGCAUUAAUAAAAUUCCCUAGUUGCAGCUGUGGAUUA